rnacentral:rRNA from 1 species
UACCUACGGGAGGCAGCAGUGAGGAAUAUUGGUCAAUGGCCGGAAGGCUGAACCAGCCAAGUCGCGUGAGGGACGACUGCCCUAUGGGUUGUAAACCUCUUUUAUAAGGGAAGAAUAAAUGCUACGUGUAGCAUGAUGCCUGUACCUUAUGAAUAAGCAUCGGCUAACUCCGUGCCAGCAGCCGCGGUAAUACGGAGGAUGCGAGCGUUAUCCGGAUUUAUUGGGUUUAAAGGGUGCGUAGGCGGAUCGUUAAGUCAGUGGUCAAAUUGAGGGGCUCAACCCCUUCCCGCCAUUGAAACUGGCGU